ACAAUGAAGAGUUUGAUCCUGGCUCAGGAUGAACGCUAGCGGCAGGCUUAACACAUGCAAGUCGAGGGGCAGCGAGGGUAGCAAUACCUGUCGGCGACCGGCGCACGGGUGAGUAACGCGUAUGCAAUCUGGCUUAUACAGGGGAAUAACCCGGAGAAAUCCGGACUAAUACCGCAUAACAUUGGCAGUGGCAUCACCGACAAUUGAAAGUAGCAAUACGGUAUAAGAUGAGCAUGCGUAUCAUUAGUUAGUUGGUAAGGUAACGGCUCACCAAGACAGCGAUGAUUAGGGGUUCUGAGAGGAACAUCCCCCACACCGGAACUGAGACACGGUCCGGACUCCUACGGGAGGCAGCAGUGAGGAAUAUUGGUCAAUGGGCGAAAGCCUGAACCAGCCAUGCCGCGUGCAGGAUUACAGCCCUACGGGUUUUAAACUGCUUUUAAACGGGAGCAAUAAGGGGUAUGCGUACCCUGAUGAGAGUACCGUAAGAAUAAGCAUCGGCUAACUCCGUGCCAGCAGCCGCGGUAAUACGGAGGAUGCAAGCGUUAUCCGGAUUCAUUGGGUUUAAAGGGUGCGUAGGCGGCAAAUUAAGUCAGCGUAGAAAGGUCAAGGCUCAACCUUGACACUUGCGUUGAAACUGGUAUGCUUGAAUGAGAAUGAAGUUGGAGGAAUGUGUCGUGUAGCGGUGAAAUGCAUAGAUAUUACACAGAAGGUCGAUUGCGAAGGCAUCCGACUAAUUCUCGAUUGACGCUGAAGCACGAAAGCGUGGGGAUCAAACAGGAUUAGAUACCCUGGUAGUCCACGCCGUAAACGAUGCUCACUCGCCGUUGGACGGUAUAUCGUUCAGUGGCUUAGCGAAAGCGUUAAGUGAGCCACCUGGGGAGUACGACCGCAAGGUUGAAACUCAAAGGAAUUGACGGGGGCCCGCACAAGCGGUGGAGCAUGUGGUUUAAUUCGAAGCAACGCGAAGAACCUUACCAGGUCUUGACAUACUCGUGCUAUUCCUAGAGAUAGGAAGUUCCUUCGGGACACGGGAUACAGGUGGUGCAUGGUUGUCGUCAGCUCGUGUCGUGAGAUGUUGGGUUAAGUCCCGCAACGAGCGCAACCCCUAUUGUUAGUUGCCAUCAUUAAGUUGGGCACUCUAACGAGACUGCCGGUGAUAAACCGGAGGAAGGUGGGGAUGACGUCAAAUCAUCAUGCCCCUUAUGACCUGGGCUACACACGUGCUACAAUGGAUGGUACAACGAGUCGCGAGACAGUGAUGUUUAGCUAAUCUCUUAAAACCAUUCUCAGUUCGGAUUGUAGGCUGCAACUCGCCUACAUGAAGUCGGAAUCGCUAGUAAUCGCGGAUCAGCACGCCGCGGUGAAUACGUUCCCGGGCCUUGUACACACCGCCCGUCACACCACGGGAGUUGGGAGUACCCGAAGUAGGUUGCCUAACCGCAAGGAGGGCGCUUCCUAAGGUAAGACCGAUGACUGGGGUGAAGUCGUAACAAGGUAGCCGUAUCGGAAGGUGCGGCUGGAUCACCUCCUUU
rnacentral:rRNA from 1 species